rnacentral:lncRNA from 1 species
AUGGGGCCGGCGCCCACGGCUCGGCCCCUGCGGCGGCCCCCGGGCGCUGCCCGAGCUCGACGCCCCCUCUCCCCGAAGGACGAGCCACCCGGCUCGGGGGAGUCAGACGCGAGGCGCCGGCACGCCGCAGCCCGACGACUCCCCGCAGGCGGGAGGGGACCGAAGCGCAGCCGGCUCGGGAGCAGCAGCCGCGGCGGCGGCGGCUCGCGGGGGAGAAGCCACGUGGGGGAGCGCGGCGGCCCGCGGACGUGGGGAGGAGGGGGCCGGCACACGGCUCAAGGACACGUGGGGACCGGGGCCAACCACGUGGGGGCUGGGCCGGAAUGGUGUAAGAACACGCGGGGGACACACACGUGGGGGCCGGGCACGGACGGACGAGCGGGUUCAGACACGCGGUACCCGAGCGCGGACGGAUGGAAAGCCACACGCGGGGGCCGGACACGCGGGCGGGUGGGCGGAGCGGGGCAAAGGUCUCUCUCGGCGCCGGAGCUCUCAAGCCGAGCCCCCGAUCCGGCGGUAGCGGUCUCUCCGCGCGUCCUCGUCCGUUCUUCGGCUUCCACUUGCAGGGUUUUUUUUUUUAGGUUUUUUUCUUUUUUGGGAGGGGGGCCGGUGGGAGCCCGCGGAGCGCCGAGCCAAAGGGCAGGAGCGGGGAGAGAGAGACAGCCGCGAGGCCGCUGCGCCCCAUUUAUACCCCCGCCCCGGGAGCGCCGCCGGUCAAAGGGCACGGCGCGCCCCGGGCGGCGCCGUCCGGCCCGCCCCGGCCCAGCCCAGCGCGGCGCGGCGCAGCCCUAUCCCGCGCAGCGCAGCGCGGCGCAGCGCAACGCAGCCCCGGCGGCGCGUGCGACCGAGGAGAGCGAGCGCGAGACAGCGGGCGAGCGCGAGAGCGGGCGAGAGCCGGCGAGGCAAGGAGAGACGCGCGGGGCCAGAGCGCCCCCCAGCCCCGGAGGACCCGCGCGCGGGCCGCCGCCUCCCCUCCCCCACCCUCACCGCGCCCCCUCGCUCAGCGGCCGCUGCACGCGGGCGCAGUUGGGGGGGAGGUGGCGGCGGGGAGGGGCCGUUGGAAGACCGUUGGGAAGGCGAGGGUUGGAUCCCCGUGCUUGGGAUGGGCGUCGAUUAAGAGCCUCUCCUGAACGUCCCUGCGGUGAAAAACCGUCAGAGUUCAUUUAUUAA